rnacentral:rRNA from 1 species
CAGCAGCCACGGUAAUACGAAGGGUGCAAGCGUUAAUCGGAAUUACUGGGCGUAAAGCGUGCGUAGGCGGUUUGUUAAGUCUGCUGUGAAAUCCCCGGGCUCAACCUGGGAAUGGCAGUGGAUACUGGCAAGCUAGAGUGUGUCAGAGGAUGGUGGAAUUCCCGGUGUAGCGGUGAAAUGCGUAGAGAUCGGGAGGAACAUCAGUGGCGAAGGCGGCCAUCUGGGACAACACUGACGCUGAGGCACGAAAGCGUGGGGAGCAAACAGGAUUAGAUACCCCCGUAGUCCCUGUCUCUUAUAA